ACCUCCUCGAACAGUCUGCAAGAAGGUCUGCUGAAGUUGUGAAGAAAGUAUGAUCACUGUAACCAUGCUGAAGGUAGUAUUUGUGCUUGGAUGUCUCCUGAGCCUCACUCUGGCUCAUCCUAUGGACAUGGAGCACAAACGACUUGCUCGGUCUAGCUCUUACUCCAAUGAGCGUUACUACUACCGGCCAAUGGCAUAUCCAGACCUUUUCCAGUACAUUCUUGCCCUUUACCGCCUCCAACAAUCUGUUACUGCACCGCCUGCUUCAACUACUACUACAAAGUAAAAUCUGAAAUGUAACUAGAGAUGAAUGAAAACCAGUACUGAAUGACAUACUUUCGACAUCAGCUUUGUUUUGUGUCAGUUUGUCAUGACAGCUGUUUCUUUCUCUUUUGAAAUUUAAAUUAUGUUGUCUUAUCUAGAGUGUUGUUGCACAUUAUUCUAGUUCAAUUAAACACGAGGAUCAAAAUCAGUGUAUUCUCUGUAGUAUGAGCAAAAUAAACUUCAUAA